CGUGUGGCAACUUAUCGGCUAAACGCGUUUUUGGUAUUUUUUCUAUUUAUAUCGAUGGUUGGCAACUCACUAUCAAUGAACAUUUCUGCUUCCCAGGUCUGGCGCAAAUGUUACGAAUUCGGGAGCAUCACGGGCAUUUUCCAAACCGCUUGCCCAUCAUGUAUUGCCGUCGCGGGAACUAUGUUUUUAUGCCCCCUAAUUUAGUAGGAGAGGCAUCAAUGACGACGUUUCCUGAGGCGGCUCUCGAAGGCUACGCAUCACGUUCGGCCUGAAUGCACGCUUUAUUGGGCGGCCGCAGCUGUACGUUAUUUCAACUCCAUAGGAUUGGAUGGCCUGAAUGCCACGUAGGCGAUAACAGGAUGCUGGAUGGAGCCCACUCAGAGCUGUUGGGCCAUUGUAUACCCCGCUUGGUUGGGCGAUGCCGAAGCCGUCGCUCACCCCAGAUUCAGUACAUGGCUCAUGGACCGUCUGGGCGUAUUAUCUUCUUGGUGAGUGUUUCUCUGGCGAUCGCAAGAAGCGCAACUUAUUGGCUCAUCAGAGUUGGAUAGCCUGGAUAACAGGCCGGAGACGAUACAGGAAUGCUGGAUGGAGCCCUCUCAGAGCUGCCGAGCUAUUAUCGACUCAAAGCCGUCGCUCAUUCCAAGUUAAGCACAUCAUCCGGCAGGCCGUCGUGGAGCACCUCGUGGAAGCGUCGUGGAUUGGAGCAUCUGGCAGCGCCUCUCAAACGCCAUACCAUUUGCAGGUCAGCUGGCUCAAGCGGUCGCAAAAACGCAUCAUGUCGGCUUCUCAGUGUUGGAUGGCCUGAUUAACAGGCCAAAGGCCAUACAGGAUGCUGGAUGGAGCCCACUACAGUGCCCAGAUUCAGUAGGUGGCUCAGUAGACCGUCUGAGCGUAUCGUAUUCUUGAACAACGUAUUAGCCUCGUAGUCUGGAAAACAUCCAGUGGCGUCUCUCACACGCCACACAACCCGUCCAGGAAUCGCAUUAAUCGACUGAAAGCGGUCGCUUAUUCCAAAAUGGACACAUAAUCCAGUAGGCCGAAGUGGAGCAUCUCGUCUUGGAAACGUCGUUGAUUCGCACAUCUGGCAUUGUCUCUCACACGCUACCCCACUUUGCAGGAUCUGGAAGUCGGUCGUAGCAGCAUAUUAAUCGUUUUGCCGGUCGUAGCAGCGUAUUAGUCGACUCAUUCCAAAAUGGACACAUCAUCCAGUAGGCCGACCUGGAGCAUCUCGUCUUGGAUACCUCGUGGAUUGGAACAUCUGGCGGCGUCUCUCCACGCCACACCACUCGUCCAGAAUUUGCAGGUCAGCCAACCUUGACAGUCGCAACAACGCAUCAUGUCGACUCCACAGAGCUGGAUGGCCAGAUUAACAGGCUGGAGAUGAUACAGGAUGCUGGAUAGAGCCCACUCAGAGCUGCUGAGCUAUUGCAUAUUUCGUUUGGGUGGGCGAUGCCAAAUCCGUCGCUCACCCCAAAUUUAGCCCAGUAGACCGUCGUGGGCGUAUCGUCUUCUUGAACGACACAUGAGCCUCGUAGUUUGGAAUACAUCUAGUGGCGUCUCUCACACGCCACACAACUUAUCCAGGAAUUUCAGGUCAGUUUGUCUUGGCGGUCGCAGCAGCGUAUUAAUCGAUUCAAAGCGGUCGCUCAUUCCAAAAUGAACACAUCAUCCAGUAGGCUGACGUGGAGCAUUAGGUUUUGGAAACGUCGUGGGUUGGCACAGCUGGCAGUGUCUCUCACACGCAACCCCAUUCUUGCAGGAUUUGGAGGUCAGUGACUUUGGCAGUCGCAGAAACGGAUGAUGUCGGCUCCUCAACGUUGGAUGGCCUGAUUAACAGGCCGAAGCCGAUACUGGAUGCUGGAUGGAGCCCACUACAGAGCCCAAAUUCAAUACGUGGCCCAGUAGACCGUCGUAGGCGUAUCGUCUUCUUGAUAAGUAUGUAUUUGUCCAGGAAUUACAGGUCAGCUGACUUAAGCCGCCGUAGAGACGCAUCAUAUCGGUUCCUCUUAGUUGAGUGGCCCCUCAUGCCGAUCUCUUCAAAUUUUAAUAUCUGGUCAAUUUGACCGUCGUGGGCGUAUCAUCUUUGUUUGCAGUACAGUACGUCAGCGUAAACGAUCGGAUCAUCCAGCGGCGUCUCUCGGAUUGCAGUAUGGAUACAUCACCCAGAAGGCCGUCAUGGAGUAUUUCGUCUUCUUGGUGAGCAUGUAAUUAAAAUUAAAUUUUGUAACCUUAUUUGCAGGACAGCACGGAAGCGUCGUGUAUUGAACAUCUGGUGGCGUUUCCCAGACGCCACGCAACUUGGCAACUUGCAGAUCAGCAGUCUUUGCCAGUCAUAGCAGCGCUUUUAAUCGACUUUUAAGGAGUUUGAUGGCCUGAAGCCGGACGCAGUACAGGAUAUUAUUUUAUUUAUUUAUUUUUUUUUUUUGUUUUUUUAGG